UACCAGCACCCCGAGUGGUCGGGACGAUUAUUGGGCCUAAAGCAUCCGUAGCCGGUUCUACAAGUCUUCCGUUAAAUCCACCUGCUUAACAGAUGGGCUGCGGAGGAUACUAUAGAGCUAGGAGGUGGGAGAGGCAAGCGGUACUUAGUGGGUAGGGGUAAAAUCCGUUGAUCCAUUGAAGACCACCAGUGGCGAAGGCGGCUUGCCAGAACGCACUCGACGGUGAGGGAUGAAAGCUGGGGGAGCAAACCGG
rnacentral:rRNA from 1 species